GAUGAACGCUGGCGGCGUGCCUAAUACAUGCAAGUCGAGCGAACUGAUUAGAAGCUUGCUUCUAUGACGUUAGCGGCGGACGGGUGAGUAACACGUGGGCAACCUGCCUGUAAGACUGGGAUAACUUCGGGAAACCGAAGCUAAUACCGGAUAGGAUCUUCUCCCUCAUGGGAGAUGAUUGAAAGAUGGUUUCGGCUAUCACUUACAGAUGGGCCCGCGGUGCAUUAGCUAGUUGGUGAGGUAACGGCUCACCAAGGCAACGAUGCAUAGCCGACCUGGGAGGGUGAUCGGCCACACUGGGACUGAGACACGGCCCAGACUCCUACGGGAGGCAGCAGUAGGGAAUCUUCCGCAAUGGACGAAAGUCUGACGGAGCAACGCCGCGUGAGUGAUGAAGGCUUUCGGGUCGUAAAACUCUGUUGUUAGGGAAGAACAAGUACGAGAGUAACUGCUCGUACCUUGACGGUACCUAACCAGAAAGCCACGGCUAACUACGUGCCAGCCGCCGCCGUAACAC
rnacentral:rRNA from 1 species